rnacentral:snRNA from 1 species
GAGAAGUAUGAUUAGUCGAUGUUGAAAUUUGAACGAUACAGAGAAGAUCAGCAUGGUCAUUGCUUGAGGAUGACAUGAACAAAUCAAGAAACAUAUCAUUAGUCU